rnacentral:rRNA from 1 species
UACAGAGGGUGCAAGCGUUAAUCGGAAUUACUGGGCGUAAAGCGUGCGUAGACGGUUACGUAAGUCGGGUGUGAAAGCCCCGGGCUCAACCUGGGAAUUGCAUUCGAGACUGAAUAGCUAGGGUACGGUAGAGGGAAGUGGAAUUUCCGGUGUAGCGGUGAAAUGCGUAGAUAUCGGAAGGAACAUCAGUGGCGAAAGCGACUUCCUGGACCAGUACCGACGUCAGGCACGAAAGCGUGGGGAGCAAACAGG